GCCCGUCAUGGAGAAGCGGCGCCGAGCGCGCAUCAACGAGAGCCUCGCUCAGCUCCAGAGCCUCCUCCUGGACGCCCUCAGGAAAGAGGCUAGCUGUCCUUUGCUGUGGAGAGGCCAACAGAGUGUGGUGUUUAGAAGCAGAUCUUCCAGCCCUGUCGAGCCUUCAGAUGAGACCCCAGCCACUGCCGGCAUCUCAAGGGCAACCUUGAGAGACUGAGAGCCAGAACCACCCAGCUGAGCAGCUCCUCGACUGCUAUCCCUCAGAAACUGUGCGAGAUAAUAAACGUCUGUUGUUUUAAACUGCUGAAUGGUAGGUUAAUUUGUCAUGCAGCUAUAAAUAACGGUAAUGUUUUAUGUAAAAUUAAAAUAAAUAUAAAUAACAAUAGCAAUAAACAAUGUGCCCACCGCCACCCAGGGCCACCACCACGUGCCCACUUGACGGGGUUGUGGAAGAGGUCAGGCGGGGUGGGACCCAGAAACAGCCGUUGAAGCUGUGGUGAGGAGAGGAGUGGGUUGGCCUGAUGUCUGCCUGGAAGUCGCUUCCCUGUGAGCUCCAGCUGGGGGUGCAGGGACAGCCAAGGCCUAUCCCUGUGGCUUCUGGGCAGGGCAGGGGCCCAUUUCUGUUCUGGUAACUGACAGGGCAUGGCGUUGGGGAUUCAUGGGCCCCAGACUUCAAACAAGGACAGGUGUGGGAGAUGGUCUGUGCUGAGACCCACAGAACCCAACCUGCCCCACGGCCACACUGACCUGCCCUCAAUGGGCAUGUUAGCCCUUUUUGCAGCCUGGUAGCUAUGGUGACCAAGAAGCAACUGGCUGCUGCUGCUUCAAAGGUGUCUCUUCCUGGUGGACUGCCUGACCCUGACACCCAUCUGGUGGCUUUGGGCUCCCACUUCAGAGAAGGAAUCCCCAUGUCUGUGUGGGGGAGGUGGGGGCCCACUUCCUGCCUUCCCAUCCUUACUCACGAGUGGGCCAGAGGCUGGUGGGGAGGAGGGCUUCCCAGCUGCACCCUUUCCCUCACCCAUGGUCCCCCCAGCACCCCUUGCCUUGUCUAGCACAGUGGGGUAGGGCUCAGCAGCUCUGGGUGUGGGGAGACAAGUCUGUACUCUCCUGGCCCCUACGCCCACCCCCCAACAUAUGAGCUGACCACGGCCUGGGCCAUACACGUACAUCCAGGGGCCGGGGGCUGGCCCGGCUCCAGCCGGAGCACCCCCAGCUCCUGGCCCUCCCUUUUCAUGGCCUCUCAAGGCCCCAGGCCUUUGGGGCCCUGGGCUUGGGCUUUCCCUGCCAGCCUAAGGUCAGAAAAGUGUUAGGCAAGACCUGGCCAAGCUUCUUCCUCUACUUGGAUCAGGAGGCUGGCUCUGGACGAAAUGCCAGGUGGCACAGGGCAUCAUCUGGCUGUGUGUACAUGGGACUUUCUUCUCUCUGUGUCCCUAGGAGUUUGCUUUGUUGAAUUAAGAGGUGAGGGUAACAUCCCAGGACUGAGCUGACCGGUCUGCCCACUUGGAGUCUGCAAUCUUUGGUUGGACUUUUCCAGAGCAGAGACCAGGUCCAAUGGACUAAAUGUUUGUGUCCCCAACCCUCGCCGCCCACCCCCCACUUCCCUGCUAAUUCGUAUGUUGAAACCUACCCCCCAAGGUGGUGGCCUUAAGAGGGGCCUCUGGGAGGGGAUGGGGUCAUGGAAUGGGAUUAGUGCCCUUACAGAGGGACGAGACGGGAGCGCUUUCGCCCACUCUGUUGGCCAUGUGAGGACACAGCCGGAAGGCAGGCUUCACGCCUGGAAGAGGUCCUCACAGGAACCCGCCCGUGCUGGUACCAGCCUCUGGGUUCAUGAUGAAUACAUUUCUUUCUUUUUUUUGUUUAUAAAUUUAUUUAUUUAUUUGUUUUUAUUUUGGACUGCGUUGGGUCUUCGUUGCUGUGUGUGGGGGCUUUCUCUAGUUGCCGCGAGCGGGGGCUACUCUUCGUUGCGGUGCGCGGGCUUCUCAUUGUCAUGGCUUCUCUCAUUGCAGAGCAGGGGCUCUAGGCAUGUGGGCUUCAGUAGUUGUGGCACGCGGGCUCUAGAGCACAGGCUCAGUAGUUGUGGUGCACGGGCUCAGUAGUUGUGGCUCGCGGGCUCUAGAGCGCAGGCUCAGUAGUUGUGGCGCACGGGCUUAGUUGCUCCGCGGCAUGUGGGAGCUUCCCAGACCAGGGCUCGAACCCGUGUCCUCUGCACUGGCAGGCAGAUUCUCAACCACUGCGCCACCAGGGAAGCCCGAUGAAUACAUUCCUAUUAUUGAUUUGUCCUGUUGCAGCAGCUGGGCUGACCAGGACACCUGGGCUUGAUGUUACCAAGCAGACUGGAGGCUGAAGGUAGUGGCCGACUUUCCAGAAAUCGCUGGGACAAACGCCUGCCCCCUGGUGGGGACAGAAACUAAAGUUUCGGGUGUCUGGGCUGAUGCUCCUUGUUCACGGGGUCCCUCCCUGCAGCACAGAUUUGACUUGUGUGGUAAAGGCAGCUUCUUCCUGGGUGGGGAAGAGUCCCAGCUUGAGCCCAGAAUCCUGGGGAAGAUCUGGGCACCCCAGCGUGGAGCUCGGGAGUGUGUGUGGAGUAAAUGGGAUGAUGCCUGUAACGUGUCAACGAAAAUUCAAUUAACCAUCAAGGUAAGAAGAAAAAAAGGGAAUUUUAUUGGAGCCAAACUGAGGACUAUAACCUGGGAAGCAGAUUCUCAGAAAACUCUGAGAACUGUUGCGCCUGUCAGAAGUAGAAUGCAUAGUCAUACACUGUUUUUUGGCUUUUGGGUUUUUUUUUGGCCAUACUGCACAGCUUGUGGGAUCUCAAUUCCCUGAUCAGGGGUUGAACCCGGGCCAUGGCAGUGAAAGCUCGGAAUCCUAACCACUAGGUCACCAAGGAACUCCCCUCAUGUAUGUUUUUGAGACAAAGGCUCUCACAUCAAAAUGAUCUACUGAUAUUUUACAUAAAGGUCACUAAGGAUACAUAGUCCAGGUAAACAUCCACAAAGGAGCAGCAAGUCACCAUGACCCCCUCCAGAAUUGGGAAAGAACUCUAUUCUUUUUUUUUUUUUAGAUGAUUUUUUUAAGAUUUAUUUUUGGCUGCAUUGGGUCUUUGUUGCUGCGCACGAGCUUUCUCUAGUUGCAGCGAGCGGGGGCUACUCUUCGUUGCGGUGCGCGGGCUUCUCAUUGCGGUGGCUUCUCUUGUUGCGGAGCACGGGCUCUAGGCGCGUGGGCUUCAGUAGUUGUGGCUCCUGGGCUCUAGAGCGCAGGCUCAGUAGUUGUGGCUCAUGGGCUUAGUUGCUCCACGGCAUGUGGGAUCUUCCCAGACCAGGGCUCGAACCCAUGUCCCCUGCAUUGGCAGGCGGAUUCUUAACCACCGAGCCACCAGCGAAGCCCAGGGACUCUAUUCUUUAAGAAGUUACAUUACUGGCAUCAGAAGAAAAAAAAUCGAUCUUUCCGGUGGAGCAGGCGCCCCACCUUGGAGGAGCUCCGGUUCGGGUGUGAUGCACAAGGCCGGUGAGGGAGGGAGGAGGCGCAAACAAACACACGGAGAGAAUCUUAUGUUUAAUUUUCUCUUGUCCUGUCUUAAAACAUAAGGUGGUUUCUUUUGGCCGUGCUGCAGGGCUUGCAGGAUCUUAGUUCCCCGAUCAGGGAUCGAACCCGGGCCCCCGCAGUGAGAGUGCCGAGUCUAACCACUGGACCGCCAGGGAAUUCCCAAAAUAUAAAUUUUAUUUCAUCAAGUGUCCCAGCCCCAAUGGGUGCCUAGAGCUCGGUGGCUGUGCUGACAGGGCCCGCAGCUGUGACCGGUGCAGCUGUGACGCUGCUGCAGGUUCCUCAGCUACGUCACUGGAACCAGUGAUGUGGCCUUGAGGGAAGUCAGGAGGAGGGAAGGGGAAAGGGACACAGUUACCACUUGUUCCUGGAGCACACCUGCCUCUGGGCUCUCAGUAACCAGCCCACCAGAACUAGUCUCCACCUGGGCAGGUAACUGAGGAGAACAAAUGCACCGAGCCAGAGACCCACCAUCUCAUGGUCAGGACACACAGUCAAUAAAUCGAGUCGGACACAGAGGCCUCUCAGAGCCGGCCAGGGCCCUCCCCACAGAGACUCAGGCCUCUUCAGUCUGCUCUGUGUUUGGAGUACCUGCAGGUCCACACCCUGCCCCCACAUUCCACGCGGGGCGCCUGUGCAGGACAGCCUCGAGCUCCCCACCAGUGGUUCAGGGAUGCGCCUGACACAGCCCGGGACUGAACCCUACCUCUGCUGUCACUGUGACCUUGCAUGUUGUCACUGUGUGUCACAAAAUCUCAAAUGUAAGACGGGAUUAGUAAUAGUACCUGCCUGUGGAGCUGGGUGGUUGAGAGGAUUAAAUAAAAUAAAUAAUCUGCAUUAUGACAGCUUCCAGCCAAGACUGCGUAGCAGGGACCAGAUUUACCCUUCUGCCUAAAACAAUGAAAAAACUGGUUAAAAUAUAUGAAACUGCAGACCAUGAAAAAGAGUGAUCCCUGGGCUUCCCUGGUGGCACCGUGGUUAAGAAUCCACCUGCCAAUGCAGGGGACACGGGUUCGAGCCCUGGUCUGGGAAGAUCCCACAUGCCACGGAGCAACUAAGCCCGUGCGCCACAACUACUGAGUCUGCGCUCUAGAGCCCACGAGCC